rnacentral:rRNA from 1 species
UCAAAUAGCACACUUAGGUUCCUAACUGAUGACGAAGAAUCGACAGAGCAGAAGCUAAGCAGGGUUGAGCCUGGUCAGUACCUGGAUGGGAGACCUCCUGGGAAAACUAGGUUGCUGUUGGAA